rnacentral:SRP_RNA from 1 species
GCUGGGCAUGGUACAUGCCUGUAGUCCCAGCUACUCGGGAGGCUGAGGUGGGAGGAUCACUUGAGCCCAGGAGUUCUGGGUUGUAGCGCACUCUUCUGAUUGGGUGUCGGCACUAAGUUCAGCAUCAAUAUGGUGACCGCCUGGGAUCGGGAGACCACCAGGUUGCCUAAGGAGGGGUGAACUGGCCUAGGUUGGAAACAGAGCAGGUCAAAACUCCCGUGCUGAUCAGUAGUGGGAUUGCAUCUGUGAAUAGCCAGGGCACUCCAGUCUGGGCAACAUAGAGAGACCCCGUCUCU